rnacentral:snoRNA from 1 species
CGACUGCCGAGGAUGGUGUUAAAUAUACUUUGAGUAUUCACUAUGAAAAGUAACAAAAUCUGAGGCAUUUG